CCUACGGGACGCAGCAGUGGGGAAUAUUGGGCAAUGGGCGCAAGCCUGACCCAGCAACGCCGCGUGAAGGAAGAAGGCUUUCGGGUUGUAAACUUCUUUUAUUGAGGACGAAACAAAUGACGGUACUCAAUGAAUAAGCCACGGCUAACUACGUGCCAGCAGCCGCGGUAAUACGUAGGUGGCAAGCGUUAUCCGGAUUUACUGGGUGUAAAGGGCGUGUAGGCGGGACUGCAAGUCAGAUGUGAAACCCAUGGGCUCAACCCAUGGCCUGCAUUUGAAACUGUAGUUCUUGAGUGAUGGAGAGG
rnacentral:rRNA from 1 species